rnacentral:tRNA from 1 species
GGGCCCGUAGCCUAGCCAGGAUAGGGCGCCGGCCUUCUAAGCCGGUGGUCUGGGGUUCAAAUCCCCGCGGGCCCGCCA